CGGACGUACUGAUUUGCUCCCCUACCCUCAGCACCCCCCCCCACCCAGCACCAGGUGGGUGUGAGAUGGGGUCCCAGCCGCACAGGAGGGAACCAUGCUAACGGGAUGUAAGACCCCCAAAACUCUUCUUCCAGCUGAACUCCCUGGGACCAAGUCAGUUGGGCUGAUCCCUGAACUCGCAUUUCUGGAUCUGAGGAACCUGUACCUCCCACAUCCUCACCUGGCUGAGCCGCAGUAGUUCUUCAGUGGCAAGCUUUAUGUCCUGACCCAGCUAAAGCUGCCAGUUGAAGAACUGUUGCCCUCUGCCCCUGGCUUCGAGGAGGAGGAGGAAGAAGAGGAGAAGGAGCUGCCUUCCCCUCAUCUGGAAGGUGACAGAACUGGGUCUGGGAAGGUCUGAACAGCGAGCGUGAUGAUACCUUUGGGAAAGGGAACCCUAUUCAGCUGGAGAAGCUUCACCCAGAUUGAGCCAGCAGGAGAGAAAAUUUCAGAUUAGAGACCUUGGCUGAAUUGGGGAAUAGAUGGCUCUGACUACACCCAAGCCUUGGGUAUGUGGUUCUGCCAUCCUCACCCAUCAUGGAGCAGAAAUGAGAAAGAGCAGCCUGGGGACACAGAGGCAGGCAGAAGACUAGUGAAGGACCAGGCCUGGAGAGCACAGGGCCCUGUCUGGACAUCUGCAGAGGGGGGCCCAUAGAGGCCAGGAGAGCCCCAGGAGGAGGGAGGACGGCCAGCCUCCAUCGAGGAAAAGCUUCCAGCCAUCUACUUCAUUCUCCGUUGCUCUCCAGCCGUUCUGCCUCCCUCAGAGAUGUGGGACCAUGUUAAAGCGUCCUUGGCUUCAUCAUGCUGCUUCCACCUCUCCCCACCAUGUAAUUUAGCUGUGAAAGGACAUAUGCAGAAAAUUCUUAAAAGAAAUUCAAAUGGUUUUGAAUGUGUGGGAAAAAAUGUGUGCUUCAUUAGUAAUUAAAGAGAGGCAAAUAUAGCUGAAAGCAUUUUUUCCGUAGCAAACUAUAACAGAAAAAAAUAAGACCCAGUUAUUGGCAAAGGAGUACUAAAAUAACACUCUCUACAUUGCAUAUAGGCGUACAAAUUGGUACAGCCUUACUGAUGUCAGUUUGGUAAUAUGUAUCAAACAUCCUAAAAGUUUCCAUGGCCUUUGACCUAGUAAUUCUACAUUUGGGAAUUUAUCCUAAGGAAAUAAUUAAAGAUUAGUUAAAACAAUGUUCAUCCCAGCAUUUCAGUAGAGAAGAAUGAGAAGCAACUAUCUGGUUGGGAAUUGAUUUCUUUUCUGCUAUAAUUGAAAUUUGCAAGAGGGGCUUGCUUAAGUAAAUUAUUGUAUAUCCAUCCGGAUGGUGGGGUGGAGGGCUGCACAGCCAUUAAAAGUCACGUAGAAGAACAUUUGACUGGAAAGAAAAAUGCUCCUUGAACAUUAAAAAGGUUAUAAAAAUGGUGUAUAUUAUGUGAUCUCAAUUUUGUUUUUAUACGUAAAACAGUUUGAAAAAGACUGAAGACAUACUCCAAAUUGUCAAUCAUAGUAGCUAUCUUUGAAUGAUGGAAUAAAGUAGUUGUAAUUUUCCUGUUUGGU